rnacentral:lncRNA from 10 species
CAGUUAAAUGAAGUAUGAAUGAGAAGACCACAAUAAAUAAGAAUGAGAAGGAAACAAUGCUCAGGAUGAGAAAAAAGGUCCAGCUUCACUGGAGCUGCUCCAGCCUUAUGAGAGCAUUUCGUCACAGCACCUGAAGUUCAACCAUUGUUAAGUGUGGUCCCCACUGAACUAUAAACCAGGCCCAGCAGCCAGAAAACCCAGAUCCCAUUCUGGGAAAAGCUAUAUGUUAGAAAGAAACAUAUGUGAUCUCUUGUUGGGCAAUUCAGUUGCACUUCUUGGCCUAAUUCAUGAAAAAAAAAAAAAAAAAAAACUUGUAAGUAUUAAGCCUUCUUCCCACCCUAGAAUCCUAUGAUUUCAUGCUCUCUUCAGUCUCUCCCAGAAGAAAAUGUCCAGUAUUCAGGAAGCAUAGCUUCCCAGGAAACAGAUAGGGUAGCAGCAGUUUACCCACCCCCUACAUGACAGGAACAAUGAGUCUGCCUCCUAAAGGACGGCAGGGGGCUGGAAGAUUACAGUUCUCUAAAGACAACCUCUGCCAUCCUCCAUAGAGACCAGCACAAAGGCAAUUAAGGAUGAGUAGGAGGCCAGUUUUUAGAGUCCACCAUCAAUAUUUUCUGCAGCCACAGUCCUGAAUCUCACUUCAUCAUCUUUCUGAUGUUGGUAACAAGCGGGCAUUGGGUCUAAGAGAAAAGGAGAAAAAUUAGGGCUCCCAGCUAGACAGGUGAAUCAUGAAACAGCCACUGCCCUGCCGCUUCCCUUCCUGAGCUCGGGAUCACGCGCACCCCAGUGAUGGCAUGGGGGUGACUUUCUGGGCCAGCUGGAGCAAGAUCAAAGGCUGGUAGACAUGUAGGGCCUUGUCUGAAAACUGGCAAGAAAUGUUUUCCUGAUUUAAAGCCAACUGUCUAGAGUGAUGACUGUUAGUUUAGAACAGGAUCCUUGGAUGGAAGUGACAGAGCCAUCCCCCUCCUCAGCAGCAUCCUUAGAAGGGCUCCCUUUCAUCCCCUACAGGAAGUACCAUUCCCAGCAGGCCUUCCAUGCAGGAGCCAUGCUUAAUAUACUGGUUCUUCAGGAACACCCAGAGAAGGAACCUGCCCCCAUCAAAAGCUCAGAGAGUCCUUGUCUAGACACAAUGACAGUAACUUAGCUGAAAUAAGCCACAGAGAGGGAAACAGGACAUAGGAGAAAGGGCACAGAUACUGGAGUCAGACAGUUCUGGAUAUUCAUCCUGGCUCUGCCAUGUACCGGUUACAUGAUUUGUAGUUAGUUAACUCCCCUAUGCCUCAGUUCCUUUGUAUGUACAAUGGGAAUAAUAACAGGACCUAGUCCAUAGAGGUGUUGUUGAGAAACAGACCAUGAGAGAACCAUGUAAAACAUGAGAAAUGAAGUAAAUGAUUCUUUAUUAUUAUACUUUAAGUUAUGGGAUACAUGUGUAGACCAUACAGUUUUGUUAUAUGGGUAUACAUGUGCUAUGGUGGUUUACUGCACCCAUCAACCCAUCAUCUACAUUAGGUAUUUUUCCUAAUGCUAUCCCUCCCCCAGGCCCCCACCCCCUGACAGGCCCCAGUGUGUGAUGUUCCCUUCCCUGUGUCCAUGUGUUCUCAUUGUUCAACUCCCACUUAUGAGUGAGAACAUACAGAGCUUGGUUUUCUGUUCUUGUGUUAGUUUGCUGAGAAUGAUGGUUUCCAGCUUCAUCCAUGUUCCUACAAAGGACAUGAACUUAUCCUUUUUAAAGGCUGCAUAGUAUUCCAUGGUGUCUAUGUGCCACAUUUUCUUGAUCCAGUCUAUCAUUGAUGGGCAUUUGGGUUGGUUCCAAGUCUUUGCUAUUGUGAAUAGAGCCACAAUAAACAUACAUGUGCAUGUGUCUUUAUAGUAGAAUGAUUUAUAAUCCUUUGGGUAUAUACUCAGUAAUGGGAUUGCUGAGUCAAAUGGUAGUUCUGGUUCUAGAUUCUUGAGGAAUUGCCA